UCCCGUUGUUGGAGCGGGGUGGCACUACCUCUUCCCAUCCCGAACAGAGUCGUAAAACGCCCCAGCGGUGACGAUAGUAUUGGCACAAGCCAAUGCGAAAAUAGCUCACAGCGGGAA
rnacentral:rRNA from 2 species